CUACGGGAGGCUCCAGUGGGGAAUUUUGCGCAAUGGGGGAAACCCUGACGCAGCAAUACCGUGUGAGUGAAGAAGGCCUUUGGGUCGUAAAGCUCUUUUAUAAGGGAAGAUAGUGACGGUACCUUAUGAAUAAGCACCGGCUAACUCCGUGCCAGCAGCCGCGGUAAUACGGAGGGUGCAAGCGUUGUUCGGAUUUACUGGGCGUAAAGGGCGCGUAGGCGGCAUAGUAAGUUAAGGGUGAAAUCCCGGGGCUCAACUCCGGAACUGCUCUUAAAACUGCUAAGCUAGAGAUAGUUAGAGGCAGGUGGAAUUCCUAGUGUAGAGGUGAAAUUCGUAGAUAUUAGGAGGAACACCGGUGGCGAAGGCGGCCUGCUGGAGCUAUUCUGACGCUAAGGCGCGAAAGCGUGGGGAGCAAACGGGAUUAGAUACCCGGGUAGUC
rnacentral:rRNA from 1 species